ensembl:lncRNA
GUUCAAUUCCCCUUGACUCCACAUGCCAAAGUGUCCUUGGGAGAGACACUGAACCCCAAGUUGCUCCCAAUGGCAAGCUAGCGCCUUGCAUGGCAGCUCUGCUACCAUUGGUGUGUGUUGCGUGGGUGAAUGAGAAACAGUAGCUGCGUUUAGGUCAAUAAUUAUAUUACUGCUGUCCAUGUAAACGUAGUCAGUGUAAAGUGCUUUGUAGAAUCGCUAAGGUUAAAAAGGUGCUUUAUAAGUGCAGACUAUUUACUUAAAAGGCAUUAACUGCCCAUAUUUAACUACAGUGUAUUGUAGUUUUGUUUGAAUUUGAAACAAUAUAGAUUAAUUAAAAAUAAAUCAGAAUGUAAACCAUUAUACUUUCAAGUACGUUAUAUGAACCAGUUAAAAUGUUUCAUGUAGAUAAUUUCGACCAAUUAACACCAUUCUACACGUAGAUCCCGCCUUGAUUGACAGGUGACAGUGGGAGAGUUUUUUUUACUGCGCAGACGCACCCACAGCCAAAGCGAGGAGAGAAAAGGACACAGAAAAAAUAGAAAAAGGCUAAAUUAUAAUUGUAUAUUAUAAUUAACUGUUUGAAAGAGUGAAAACGAAGGUCAAAACAGUACUACUGCUAGCUGGAGUGCUGAUGAACUUCAGUGUGUAGUUUUAUCCAACGUGAAGCUUGGUUUUUUUGAUUCGAUGGGAAGAAGUUUACAAAAAGUUUUCAACAGUUUGAUGGCGAGCCACCCAAGUAGAACCACUGUGUCUUGAAGGACGGUAUUUUUUAUUGUAUAAUAUUUUGGUUUUUCUGCAAAGGACUACAACUGAAAAUACUCUAGAGGAGGCUUAUAGAAAGAAAUUGCAGAGACAUUGAAAAAGACAUUUUAAUUCUGGAUGUGAUUUUAUUUGAUUUAAGUUUUGUUGUAUUCCGUGUAUGUAUAUAUUUUAUCUUAGACUUAACUUAGAGGGUGCACCCUAGGGCAGUGGUUUUCAAAGUGGGGGCUGCGGCCCCCUUGGGGGCCACCAGGGGGCGCCUGGGGGGCCUCAACUAUUUGGUGUGAAAAAUAAAUAAAUGUAUGUUUUCUCUUUCUCACUCUCAGACAACCACACACAAACACACACACGAUCAAUUCCUAAUGUAAUGUAAAGAUGUAAUUAUUAAUAAAAAAAAAAGUGUUUUAAAGACAUCUUGCAAAAGGGGGGCCUUUUUUAAUGUGUUUUAAAGACAUCUUACAAAAGGGGGGCCUCGGUCAAAUUUUAACACCAUUUGG